AGCCGCGGUAAUACGAAGGGUGCAAGCGUUACUCGGAAUGACUGGGCGUAAAGCGCGCGUAGGCGGCUACUCAAGUCAGGGGUGAAAGCCCGGGGCUCAACCCCGGAACUGCCUUUGAAACUAGGUAGCUAGAAUCUUGGAGAGGUCAGUGGAAUUCCGAGUGUAGAGGUGAAAUUCGUAGAUAUUCGGAAGAACACCAGUGGCGAAGGCGACUGACUGGACAAGUAUUGACGCUGAGGUGCGAAAGCGUGGGGAGCAAACA
rnacentral:rRNA from 1 species